rfam:Populus trichocarpa isolate Nisqually-1 chromosome 5, whole genome shotgun sequence.
UAAUCUAUCUAGGCAGAUCCUUAUCUAGUUGUGGUAAACUCACACCUGAUUGUUUAAAAUCACUUAUGAUCACAAGCCCGACUACAUCACCCCCAAUUUACAUCCAAUUGAUUAAGAACUAAGGCCUAAGAUUACAUA